UACGUAGGGUGCGAGCGUUAAUCGGAAUUACUGGGCGUAAAGCGUGCGCAGGCGGUUUUGUAAGCCAGAUGUGAAAUCCCCGGGCUUAACCUGGGAAUGGCAUUUGGGACUGCAAGGUUUGAGUUUGGCAGAGGAGACUGGAAUUCCUGGUGUAGCAGUGAAAUGCGUAGAUAUCAGGAGGAAUACCGAUGGCGAAGGCAGGUCUCUGGGCCACUACUGACGCUGAGAAGCGAAAGCAUGGGGAGCGAACAGG
rnacentral:rRNA from 1 species